rnacentral:rRNA from 1 species
GAUGAACGCUAGCGGCAGGCCUAACACAUGCAAGUCGAGGGGCAGCACAGGUAGCAAUACUGGGUGGCGACCGGCGGAUGGGUGCGUAACGCGUAUGCAACCUACCAUUGAUUGGGGCAUAGCCCGAAGAAAUUCGGAUUAAUACUCCAUAAUAUUCAUCAAAGGCAUCUUUUAUGAAUUAAAGCUUUUGCGAUCAAUGAUGGGCAUGCGUGACAUUAGUUAGUUGGUGAGGUAACGGCUCACCAAAACGAUGAUGUCUAGGGGUUCUGAGAGGAUUAUCCCCCAACUGGUACUGAGACACGGACCAGACUCCUACGGGAGGCAGCAGUGAGGAAUAUUGGUCAAUGGGCGCAAGCCUGAACCAGCCAUCCCGCGUGCAGGAAGACGGCCCUAUGGGUUGUAAACUGCUUUUCCAGGGAGAGAAACUUACGCACGUGUUGCGUGACUGACGGUACCCUGGGAAUAAGCAUCGGCUAACUCCGUCG